GACGGAGGGUGCAAGCGUUGUUCGGAUUGACUGGGCGUAAAGGGCGUGUAGGCGGUUGGUCAAGUCCGAUGUGAAAGCCCGGGGCUCAGCUUCGGAAGUGCAUCGGAAACUAGCCAGCUGGAGCGCGAUAGAGGAGGGCGGAAUCCUGGUGUAGCGGUGAAAUGCGUAGAUAUCAGGAGGAACACCGGCGGCGAAGGCGGCCCUCUGGAUCGUUGCUGACGCUGAGACGCGAAAGCGUGGGGAGCAAACAGG
rnacentral:rRNA from 1 species